UAACCUGCCCAAGAGAUCGGGAUAACACCUGGAAACAGAUGCUAAUACCGGAUAACAACAGAUGAUGCCUAUCAACUGUUUAAAAUAUUGUUCUGCUAUCACUCUUGGAUGGACCUGCGGUGCAUUAGCUAGUUGGUAGGGUAACGGCCUACCAAGGCGAUGAUGCAUAGCCGAGUUGAGAGACUGAUCGGCCACAUUGGGACUGAGACACGGCCCAAACUCCUACGGGAGGCAUCAGUC
rnacentral:rRNA from 1 species